GUGCCUAAUACAUGCAAGUAGAACGCUGAAGACUUUAGCUUGCUAAAGUUGGAAGAGUUGCGAACGGGUGAGUAACGCGUAGGUAACCUGCCUACUAGCGGGGGAUAACUAUUGGAAACGAUAGCUAAUACCGCAUAACAGCAUUUAACACAUGUUAGAUGCUUGAAAGGAGCAAUUGCUUCACUAGUAGAUGGACCUGCGUUGUAUUAGCUAGUUGGUGAGGUAACGGCUCACCAAGGCGACGAUACAUAGCCGACCUGAGAGGGUGAUCGGCCACACUGGGACUGAGACACGGCCCAGACUCCUACGGGAGGCAGCAGUAGGGAAUCUUCGGCAAUGGGGGCAACCCUGACCGAGCAACGCCGCGUGAGUGAAGAAGGUUUUCGGAUCGUAAAGCUCUGUUGUAAGAGAAGAACGUGUGUGAGAGUGGAAAGUUCACACAGUGACGGUAACUUACCAGAAAGGGACGGCUAACUACGUGCCAGCAGCCGCGGUAAUACGUAGGUCCCGAGCGUUGUCCGGAUUUAUUGGGCGUAAAGCGAGCGCAGGCGGUUUAAUAAGUCUGAAGUUAAAGGCAGUGGCUUAACCAUUGUUCGCUUUGGAAACUGUUAGACUUGAGUGCAGAAGGGGAGAGUGGAAUUCCAUGUGUAGCGGUGA
rnacentral:rRNA from 1 species